CCUGCUCAUGAGUAAUUAAAUAGCCGCAAUUUCGUGCUAAGGUAGCAUAAUAAUUUGUUUCCUAAUUAGAAAAUAGAAUGAAAGGAUAAACGAUCAUAACCUAUCUUUUACAAAUACAAAUUAAAAUUAAAUUAAAAAUCAAAAUGUUUUUAUAAAACAGGAAGACGACAAGACCCUAUGAACUUAUUUUAAAAUUUAACUGGGGCAGUUUAAAAAUCAACAUUUAAUAUUUUUAUAGAUAUAAAAGCACUAAAGAAAAUAAACAAAGUUACCAUAGGGAUAACAGCGUAAUAUACAUUUAAAGAACAUAUAAAAAUGUAAGAUUGCGACCUCGAUGUUGAAUUAAUAUAACUAUUAUAAGAACAAUUAUAAAUAAGUAAGUCUGUUCGACUUAUAAUCUAUUACAU
rnacentral:rRNA from 1 species